AUAUGGAGUUCCAGAACUUCUAAAGGAGACAUGCAUGAGACUAGCAUCUUCUUGGGAGGAUAAGAUCUCUUCCUCUCUCUCUCUCUCUGCUAGAAUAUGUGCUCUGCAAAGACUUUGAAGUUCUCAAGAUAAUAAGAUUACAGCUUUCUACUUGAGUUCUAGCCUCCCCAGGACAAAUGGGCAAGAGACAACGUGUAAUCUGAAAGAAGUUUAGCACCUCAUACAUUCAGUUCAGGUAUACUUGGGCUGACUGGGUCAGGUGAGUAAACAAGGAAAAACCCAAAGGAUUAAUCUAUCCAUUUUCUUACUAUAAUAAUCAU